GAACAAUUCGCCUGAGCCUGAACUCAGAGGACUGAGUCUGCCAGGGAUCAUCAGCCCCAACAUCCGGCACGUCCACUGAGCCUCAGGAUGUAGAAUGUAAGAAGAUCAACAGGACAAGGCUUUGGUCUUAGGAGAAGCCCACAAUUGGGAUCAAGAGAAAGAAAAGGAGCUGUUGAAGAAAUAAAGAAAU